UCUAGAACUCAAGAUAUAGGCUGAACAUUGAACAAUGUCUGGGUUAGAGGACAUAUUCAUUCUUUGUUGUUAUUAUAAUUUGGAAUUGAAAACAGCCUUUUUAAAUCUUGGACUCCCAUGAAUGUUUUAGGCCUAUGUCUUUAGCUUUCUAGC
rfam:Populus trichocarpa isolate Nisqually-1 chromosome 8, whole genome shotgun sequence.